UACGUAGGGGGCUAGCGUUAUCCGGAAUUACUGGGCGUAAAGGGUGCGUAGGUGGUUUCUUAAGUCAGAGGUGAAAGGCUACGGCUCAACCGUAGUAAGCCUUUGAAACUGGGAAACUUGAGUGCAGGAGAGGAGAGUGGAAUUCCUAGUGUAGCGGUGAAAUGCGUAGAUAUUAGGAGGAACACCAGUUGCGAAGGCGGCUCUCUGGGCUGUAACUGACACUGAGGCACGAAAGCGUGGGGAGCAAACAGG
rnacentral:rRNA from 1 species